AGCUUGCUCCCUGAGAUUAGCGGCGGACGGGUGAGUAACACGUGGGCAACCUGCCUAUAAGACUGGGAUAACUUCGGGAAACCGGAGCUAAUACCGGAUACGUUCUUUUCUCGCAUGAGAGAAGAUGGAAAGACGGUUUACGCUGUCACUUAUAGAUGGGCCCGCGGCGCAUUAGCUAGUUGGUGAGGUAAUGGCUCACCAAGGCGACGAUGCGUAGCCGACCUGAGAGGGUGAUCGGCCACACUGGGACUGAGACACGGCCCAGACUCCUACGGGAGGCAGCAGUAGGGAAUCUUCCGCAAUGGACGAAAGUCUGACGGAGCAACGCCGCGUGAACGAAGAAGGCCUUCGGGUCGUAAAGUUCUGUUGUUAGGGAAGAACAAGUACCAGAGUAACUGCUGGUACCUUGACGGUACCUAACCAGAAAGCCACGGCUAACUACGUGCCAGCAGCCGCGGUAAUACGUAGGUGGCAAGCGUUGUCCGGAAUUAUUGGGCGUAAAGCGCGCGCAG
rnacentral:rRNA from 2 species